rnacentral:sRNA from 1 species
GCUUUUGUCUGGAUAGGAGCAACAUUGCAUGUUUACAGUCUUGCAGUGUGCUGAGAGCUGGUGGCCAGUGGGACUGAGUGAGCUGUGUGCCAUGUAUUGACCCACUUCCUAGUCCUGAAUUCCUUUUAGAAGCUCCGGCAGGGAGGAUGAUACAGUCAGACAAAGGAGCAGAUCCACCAGACAAGAAGGACAUGAAGCUUUCUACAGCCACCAAUCCGCAGAAUGGCCUCUCCCAGAUCCUGAGGCUUGUGCUGCAAGAGCUGAGUCUGUUCUACAGCAGAGACGUGAAUGGAGUGUGUCUCUUGUACAAUCUCCUCCACUCGCCGUGGCUUCAGGCUCUGCUAAAGAUUUAUGACUGCCUCCAGGAAUUUAAAGAAAAGAAACUAGUUCCUGCCACACUACAUGCACAGGUGUUAUCCUAUGAGGUAGUGGAGUUAUUACGUGAAACCGCUACUUCCCCUGAGAUCCAAGAGCUGAGACAAAUGCUCCAGGCUCCACACUUUAAGGGAGCCACCAUCAAGCGCCAUGAGAUGACAGGGGACAUCUUGGUGGCCAGGGUCAUCCACGGUGGGCUGGCGGAGAAAAGUGGGUUGCUAUAUGCUGGAGACAAACUGGUAGAAGUGAAUGGAGUUUCAGUUGAGGGACUGGACCCUGAACAAGUGAUCCAUAUUCUGGCCAUGUCUCGAGGCACAAUCAUGUUCAAGGUGGUUCCAGUCUCUGACCCUCCUGUGAAUAGCCAGAAGAUGGUGUACGUCCGUGCCAUGACUGAGUACUGGCCCCAGGAGGAUCCCGACAUCCCCUGCAUGGACGCUGGAUUGCCUUUCCAGAAGGGGGACAUCCUCCAGAUUGUGGACCAGAAUGAUGCCCUCUGGUGGCAGGCCCGAAAAAUCUCAGACCCUGCUACCUGUGCUGGGCUUGUCCCUUCUAACCACCUUCUGAAGAGGUAAGGAACGUCACCACUCCUGGACUCAGGCCUGAACCAUCAGGAAACAAUGUUUUUCUUGGGCUUCUGUUACCGAAGUUGAGAUGAGAUAAAGAGGGACAAGCAGAUGAAUGAACACACACACUGGUUUAUAAAUCCAAAUGUCAGCUUACCGAUAAACCCUAAGCAUCUUAAAUACCAAGGAGACAAGAAUAAUCAUAUCAGCUAGAAAACAGGGAAAAGUCUUGGGAAACUAAAUUAAACUUGAAAAGUGCCAUGGCCUGAAUGUUUGUGUCCUCUCCAAAAUUCAUAUGUUGAGACAUAAUCCCCAAUGCAAUAGUAUUAAGAGGCAGGGCCUUUAGCAGGUGGUUAGGUCAUGAGCACUCUGCCUUCAUGAAUGGGAUUAGUGCCCUUAUAAAAGAGGCCUGAGGGAGCUUAUUUGCCCCUUCCACCAUGGGAGGACACAGCUAAAAGGCGCCAUUUAUGAGUCACGGAGCGGGCCCUUGCCAGGCACUGCAUCCACUGGCUCCUCGAUCUUGGACUUCCCAGCUUCCAGAACUAUGAGCAAAUACAUUUCUGUUGUUUAUAAGUGACCCAGUUUAUGGUACUUUGUUAUAGCAGCCUGCACAGACUAAGAGAAAAAAGGAUUCAUCUUUCAAGGCUGAGUUGAGACCUCGGUUUCAACCUACCACCCUCACCUUAUGCUACUGAGGUUUGACGAGCUACCAAGGGAGGGCGUGCAAAUAGAUAGAAGCAGCAGUCCCAGGCUCAGCCACUGUUAAGAGAUCAAGAAGA